rnacentral:ncRNA from 1 species
CCCCGAUAAGGGCAAACCGUCCGAAAGGGCGGGGCGCAAAGCCACGGACCUAAGGCCCUAACGGGCUACGGCAGCCGGGUUGCCGAA